UCACGUCUUACGACGGCAGUUUCACUAGAGUUCCCAGCGUUACCUGAUGGCAACUAAGGGUGAGGGUUGCGCUCGUUGCGGGACUUAACCCAACAUCUCACGACACGAGCUGACGACGGCCAUGCAGCACCUGUCACCUGGCUCCCGAAGGCACCCCAUGAUCUCUCACGGGUCCCAGGGAUGUCAAGCCUCGGUAAGGUUCUACGCGUAGCGUCAUGUUAAACCACAUCCUCCUCUGCUUGUGCGGGUCCCCGUCAAUUCCUUUGAGUUUUAACCUUGCGGUCGUACUUCCCAGGCGGCAUACUUAUCGCGUUAGCUGCGACGCACAGGGGGUCGAUACCCCAUACGUCUAGUAUGCAUCGUUUACGGCGUGGACUAC
rnacentral:misc_RNA from 1 species